rnacentral:rRNA from 1 species
CCUUAGAGUUUGAUCCUGGCUCAGGAUGAACGCUGGCGGCGUGCUUAACACAUGCAAGUCGAACGGGAAACCUUUUAUUGAAGCUUCGGCAGAUUUAGAUUGUUUCUAGUGGCGGACGGGUGAGUAACGCGUGGGUAACCUGCCUUAUACAGGGGGAUAACAGUCAGAAAUGGCUGCUAAUACCGCAUAAGCGCACAGGACCGCAUGGUCUGGUGUGAAAAACUCCGGUGGUAUAAGAUGGACCCGCGUUGGAUUAGCUUGUUGGCAGGGUAACGGCCUACCAAGGCGACGAUCCAUAGCCGGCCUGAGAGGGUGAACGGCCACAUUGGGACUGAGACACGGCCCAGACUCCUACGGGAGGCAGCAGUGGGGAAUAUUGCACAAUGGGGGAAACCCUGAUGCAGCGACGCCGCGUGAAGGAAGAAGUAUCUCGGUAUGUAAACUUCUAUCAGCAGGGAAGAAAAUGACGGUACCUGACUAAGAAGCCCCGGCUAACUACGUGCCAGCAGCCGCGGUAAUACGUAGGGGGCAAGCGUUAUCCGGAUUUACUGGGUGUAAAGGGAGCGUAGACGGAUGGACAAGUCUGAUGUGAAAGGCUGGGGCUCAACCCCGGGACUGCAUUGGAAACUGCCCGUCUUGAGUGCCGGAGAGGUAAGCGGAAUUCCUAGUGUAGCGGUGAAAUGCGUAGAUAUUAGGAGGAACACCAGUGGCGAAGGCGGCUUACUGGACGGUAACUGACGUUGAGGCUCGAAAGCGUGGGGAGCAAACAGGAUUAGAUACCCUGGUAGUCCACGCGGUAAACGAUGAAUGCUAGGUGUCGGGGAGCAAAGCUCUUCGGUGCCGCCGCAAACGCAUUGAGCAUUCCACCUGGGGAGUACGUUCGCAAGAAUGAAACUCAAAGGAAUUGACGGAA